CAAUUGUUUAUUAUCUCUGAUUACUUUGAUAUAUUCCUAAAUAGGGAGAAGAAAAACAGAAAUGGUAUUCAGUUUACAUUUUGAAAGGAGGAGGAACUGUAACCAUGUACUGUAUACCUCAUUCAGCUUUCCUUGUCGUUUGGCUUCGUGGUGUUGCUUACUUAAAAUACUGCAUGUGGACAUUGCCAGAGUAAACAAGCCGAGGAAGAGCAGACCCUGUGUUGGAAUGUAACAGCUAUGGAGAAGCUGGAGGGAGGCCAGGGAGGAGAGUGCUGUGAAAACUUAGCCCGCACCAAGAGCUGAUCAUGGUGAGUUCCUUGUUAAUUCUUCAAAACAAUGAUUUGAGGCUGAUACUGAACUGUACUCUUAUGACCUUCCUCUUCCUCCCCACCCGCA
rnacentral:lncRNA from 1 species